GAAAAAGCGUUGAUAGGGAGGAGUAGUUGAUUGUGAAGCCUCACAGAGAGUCGGUGGUUGCUGGAAACCGAUGGUUCACAUUAACGAACAUCGCCCUUGAGUGCCAAGCUGAAGCUAUUGCGCCUAGGUUUGGACGGUGGCACCGUUAUGAGCUAAACUCGUUUAGAGUUACUGAGGCAAGGAGUUUUUCUUGCGAAGAAGGGUGGUACCGCGAAAUCUUUCGUCCCUUCA
rnacentral:ncRNA from 1 species